AUGAACGCUAGCUACAGGCUUAACACAUGCAAGUCGAGGGGCAGCAUGUGGUUGCUUGCAACCAAUGAUGGCGACCGGCGCACGGGUGAGUAACGCGUAUCCAACCUGGCCCGCAGUAGGGAACAGCCCGGCGAAAGUCGGAUUAAUGCCCUAUGUCUUCCUUUGCAGGCAUCCAAUGAGGAAGAAAGAUUUAUCGCUGCGGGAUGGGGAUGCGUCUGAUUAGCUUGUCGGCGGGGUAACGGCCCACCGAGGCGACGAUCAGUAGGGGUUCUGAGAGGAAGGUCCCCCACACUGGUACUGAGACACGGACCAGACUCCUACGGGAGGCAGCAGUGAGGAAUAUUGGUCAAUGGGCGAGAGCCUGAACCAGCCAAGUAGCGUGCAGGAACCGACUGCCCUAUGGGUUGUAAACUGCUUUUAUGCGGGGAUAAACUUCAGCACGUGUGCUGUUUUGCAGGUACCGCAUGAAUAAGGACCGGCUAAUUCCGUGCCAGCAGCCGC
rnacentral:rRNA from 1 species